GAACGAACUCUGGUAUUGAUUGGUGCUUGCAUCAUGAUUUACAUUUGAGUGAGUGGCGAACUGGUGAGUAACACGUGGGAAACCUGCCCAGAAGCGGGGGAUAACACCUGGAAACAGAUGCUAAUACCGCAUAACAACUUGGACCGCAUGGUCCGAGCUUGAAAGAUGGCUUCGGCUAUCACUUUUGGAUGGUCCCGCGGCGUAUUAGCUAGAUGGUGGGGUAACGGCUCACCAUGGCAAUGAUACGUAGCCGACCUGAGAGGGUAAUCGGCCACAUUGGGACUGAGACACGGCCCAAACUCCUACGGGAGGCAGCAGUAGGGAAUCUUCCACAAUGGACGAAAGUCUGAUGGAGCAACGCCGCGUGAGUGAAGAAGGGUUUCGGCUCGUAAAACUCUGUUGUUAAAGAAGAACAUAUCUGAGAGUAACUGUUCAGGUAUUGACGGUAUUUAACCAGAAAGCCACGGCUAACUACGUGCCAGCAGCCGCGGUAAUACGUAGGUGGCAAGCGUUGUCCGGAUUUAUUGGGCGUAAAGCGAGCGCAGGCGGUUUUUUAAGUCUGAUGUGAAAGCCUUCGGCUCAACCGAAGAAGUGCAUCGGAAACUGGGAAACUUGAGUGCAGAAGAGGACAGUGGAACUCCAUGUGUAGCGGUGAAAUGCGUAGAUAUAUGGAAGAACACCAGUGGCGAAGGCGGCUGUCUGGUCUGUAACUGACGCUGAGGCUCGAAAGUAUGGGUAGCAAACAGGAUUAGAUACCCUGGUAGUCCAUACCGUAAACGAUGAAUGCUAAGUGUUGGAGGGUUUCCGCCCUUCAGUGCUGCAGCUAACGCAUUAAGCAUUCCGCCUGGGGAGUACGGCCGCAAGGCUGAAACUCAAAGGAAUUGACGGGGGCCCGCACAAGCGGUGGAGCAUGUGGUUUAAUUCGAAGCUACGCGAAGAACCUUACCAGGUCUUGACAUACUAUGCAAAUCUAAGAGAUUAGACGUUCCCUUCGGGGACAUGGAUACAGGUGGUGCAUGGUUGUCGUCAGCUCGUGUCGUGAGAUGUUGGGUUAAGUCCCGCAACGAGCGCAACCCUUAUUAUCAGUUGCCAGCAUUAAGUUGGGCACUCUGGUGAGACUGCCGGUGACAAACCGGAGGAAGGUGGGGAUGACGUCAAAUCAUCAUGCCCCUUAUGACCUGGGCUACACACGUGCUACAAUGGAUGGUACAACGAGUUGCGAACUCGCGAGAGUAAGCUAAUCUCUUAAAGCCAUUCUCAGUUCGGAUUGUAGGCUGCAACUCGCCUACAUGAAGUCGGAAUCGCUAGUAAUCGCGGAUCA
rnacentral:rRNA from 2 species